UUUGAUUUAACUUUAUCUAAAAUGUUGUUUUUUCCCUCAAGCAUUUUUUUUGCUUACCGUGAAAAUGAAAGAAGGUGCGUUGAGAGAAGAUUUCCUCCAUGCAUCAUGAAGGUGGAGAUGUUUAGCAUGAAAGAGCGAGAAGACAGAACACUUGAAUGGCUUUUAAAUUUUGGCUUUGUCGAUGUAAUGAAAACCCACAACAGAUGUCAUUUCUGCAUGGAUCUUCAGCUGGAAGAGAGUGAUGAAGAAGAUGAAGAACAGGUGUGGCCGCUGGAGCCAGGACUUGCUCAGUGAUUACUGGAUCUGCGGCUCCGCCUGUAAGAAAGGAACAGCCAAGCUGCGAUCUCCAAGGACUGCUGGAUCCUCAAAGAGGUCUUUAUGCCAAAGAAGAGACUUUAUGGUUCCAUCGAUGACAGCAGCCCUGGUUAUGACACUGGCUCCACCAUGUUUAACU